rnacentral:rRNA from 1 species
GACGAACGCUGGCGGCGUGCUUAACACAUGCAAGUCGAACGGAAAGGCCCUGCUUUUGUGGGGUGCUCGAGUGGCGAACGGGUGAGUAACACGUGAGUAACCUGCCCUUGACUUUGGGAUAACUUCAGGAAACUGGGGCUAAUACCGGAUAGGAGCUCCUGCUGCAUGGUGGGGGUUGGAAAGUUUCGGCGGUUGGGGAUGGACUCGCGGCUUAUCAGCUUGUUGGUGGGGUAGUGGCUUACCAAGGCUUUGACGGGUAGCCGGCCUGAGAGGGAGACCGGCCACAGUGUGACAGGGGUACGGCCCAGACGCAUACGGGGAGCAGCAGUGGGGAAUAUAGCAAGAUAGGCGGAGGCCGGAUGCAGCAACGCCGCGUGCGAGAUGACGGCCUUCGGGUUGUAAACCGCGUUCGCCUGUGACGAAGCGUGAGUGACGGUAAUGGGGAAAGAAGCACCGGCUAACUACGU